rnacentral:tRNA from 1 species
CGGGGUGUAGUGUUAAUGGCCAGCACGCAUGGUUUGGGACCAUGUAGAUUGGGUUCAAGUCCCAACACCCCGA